GACGAACACUGGCGGCGUGCUUAACACAUGCACAUCGAACGAAGUGGCGAACGGGUGAGUAAUACUUGGGUAACCUGCACUCCUUUUUGGGAUAAGCCUUGGUACCGGGGUCUAAUACCGAACAAAGGGGGAUGGGCUCGCGGCCUAUCAGCUUGUUGGUGGGGUGAUGGCCUAACAACGCGGUGACGGGUAGCCGGCCUGAGAGGGUGACUGGCCACAUCGGGACUAAGAUACGUCCCAGGCGCCUACGGGAGGCAGCAGUGGGGGAUAUUGCACAAUGGGCGAAGGCCUGAUGCAUCGACGCCGCGUAGGGGAUGAAGGCUUUCGGGUUGUAAACCUGUUUCGCUAUCGAACGUGUAGGUGGAGAAGAAGCGCCUGCUAACUACGUUCCAGCAGCCGCGGUAAUAC
rnacentral:rRNA from 1 species